rnacentral:rRNA from 1 species
ACGAGUGGCGCACGGGUGCGUAACGCGUAUGCAACCUACCUUUAACUGGAGAAUAGCCUUUAGAAACGAAGAAUAAUACUCCAUAAAAUUGUCUUACGGCAUCGUAAGAUUCUUAAAGCUUCGGUGGUUAAAGAUGGCAUGCGUUCUAUUAGUUAGUUGGUGAGGUAAUGGCUCACCAAGACUCCGAUAGAUAGGGGGCCUGAGAGGGUUAUCCCCCACACUGGUACUGAGACACGGACCAG